rnacentral:rRNA from 1 species
UGCAAGUCGAACGGUGAAGCAGAGCUUGCUCUGUGGAUCAGUGGCGAACGGGUGAGUAACACGUGAGCAAUCUGCCCCUGACUCUGGGAUAAGCGCUGGAAACGGCGUCUAAUACCGGAUACGAGCUGCGAAGGCAUCUUCAGCAGUUGGAAAGAAUUUCGGUCAGGGAUGAGCUCGCGGCCUAUCAGCUUGUUGGUGAGGUAGUGGCUCACCAAGGCGUCGACGGGUAGCCGGCCUGAGAGGGUGACCGGCCACACUGGGACUGAGACACGGCCCAGACUCCUACGGGAGGCAGCAGUGGGGAAUAUUGCACAAUGGGCGCAAGCCUGAUGCAGCAACGCCGCGUGAGGGAUGACGGCCUUCGGGUUGUAAACCUCUUUUAGCAAGGAAGAAGCGAAAGUGACGGUACUUGCAGAAAAAGCGCCGGCUAACUACGUGCCAGCAGCCGCGGUAAUACGUAGGGCGCAAGCGUUAUCCGGAAUUAUUGGGCGUAAAGAGCUCGUAGGCGGUUUGUCGCGUCUGCUGUGAAAACUGGAGGCUCAACCUCCAGCCUGCAGUGGGUACGGGCAGACUAGAGUGCGGUAGGGGAGAUUGGAAUUCCUGGUGUAGCGGUGGAAUGCGCAGAUAUCAGGAGGAACACCGAUGGCGAAGGCAGAUCUCUGGGCCGUAACUGACGCUGAGGAGCGAAAGGGUGGGGAGCAAACAGGCUUAGAUACCCUGGUAGUCCACCCCGUAAACGUUGGGAACUAGUUGUGGGGUCCAUUCCACGGAUUCCGUGACGCAGCUAACGCAUUAAGUUCCCCGCCUGGGGAGUACGGCCGCAAGGCUAAAACUCAAAGGAAUUGACGGGGACCCGCACAAGCGGCGGAGCAUGCGGAUUAAUUCGAUGCAACGCGAAGAACCUUACCAAGGCUUGACAUAUACGAGAACG